CUGGGCAGCAUUAAAGUUUCCAGGGAUAACGAACACACCGAUAAGUGGUUGGACGAUUAUAAAGGAACUAUGAACUCAUUAGAAGUAAUUCUAGCUAUUAUUCUAUUUUUCGACCAAAUAUUCUAUCUCGUGCUUUUGUGUGGGCUCAGAAAAUUUAUUCCUUUGAAGAGAACAUUAAGAUGCCGUAUAUGACCAUGAAAGAAGGCCAUUACUUUAGCAAAAGACCAUUUGAAAAUUGUAAAUAAUAUUGAUGCACAUACCCAUAUAUGUAUGUACAUACAUAUGUAUAUACAUACAUAUUAUGAAUGCAUGUUCCAAUAGAAACAAAUAUAAUUCCUAAACCUAUUAAACAUGUUUCUAUGAAUUACUGUUUAAAUAAAUUAAUUUCGAUUGCCUGGUGGGAGACUAACAUUGAUAGACACGUCAUCUCGAGAGAAAUAUUUCUUUCCAAUGAAAUGAUUCAGUUCUCAUGGUAUGGGGUUGUUGUCAAGUGUACAUCUGCAUAUGUAAUCAAUUGCCAAAAUGUAUAUCUUAGGUCAAUAGAUUAUCAUAUGUACAUAUACAUACAUCUUAAUUAGUCAUCAUAUACGUUUUGGGUUUGUUUGUAAGUAUGCCUGUUUAAUAUAUUUGAAUAUAUGUAUGUAUGUACAUAUUUCAGAUCAGAGGACGUAUGUGUUCUUAUAAUCGUGAGUAUAACAUAUUUAUUAUCAUGUAUUAUUUAAUAUUCUUAAUACAUAGAAGAAUAAAAAAACUAAUUGUAUUGCUGCACUCCGACUAAUGAUAAUACAAUUAUGGUGCAAAUCUUCGUCUCUCACAUGUAAAUAUGUACAUACAUAAACACUUGAAUUCAAAAAGCGAUUUGAAAUUUCAGAAGUGUGCCACACAUAUGUACAGACAUACAUACAUAUAUGUAUGAUAAAACGUAAGCUGCAACAACUAAAAUACAAUAACACGUAACUUUAUAAAUCCGCAUUUGGUUAUUUUACUGGUUUUAGCCGGUGCAUCAUAUUAAUUGUUUCAAAAUU